GAUGAAGAACGUAGCGAAAUGCGAUAAGUAAUGUGAAUUGCAGAAUUCAGUGAAUCAUCGAAUCUUUGAACGCACAUUGCGCCCCCUGGUAUUCCGGGGGGCAUGCCUGUUCGAGCGUCAUUUCAACCCUCAAGCUCUGCUUGGUAUUGAGUCCAUGUCAGCAAUGGCAGGCUCCAAAAUCAGUGGCGGCGCCGCUGGGUCCUGAACGUAGUAAUAUCUCUCGUUACAGGUGCUCGGCGUGCUUCUGCCAAAACCCCAAUUUUUCUAUGGUUGACCUCGGAUCAGGUAGGGAUACCCGCUGAACUUAAGCAUAUCAAUAGCGGAGGA
rnacentral:misc_RNA from 1 species